AAUAUUGCACACUGGAGGCAACUCUGAUGCAGCGACGCCGCGUGAGCGAUGAAAGCCUUCGGUUCGUCAAGCUCUGUCCUACGGGACGAUAACGACGGUACCAUAGGAGGAACCCACGGCUAACUACGUUCCAGCAGCCGCGGUAAUACGUAGGGGGCGAGCGUUGUCCGGAAUUACUGGGCGUAAAGGGUACGCAGGCGGCCAUGUAAGUCAGAUGUGAAAGGUCACGGCUCAACCGUGGUAAGCAUUUGAAACUGUGUGGCUUGAGUUAAGGAGAGGAGAGUGGAAUUCCUGGUGUAGCGGUGAAAUGCGUAGAUAUCAGGAGGAAUACCAGUGGCGAGGGCGACUUUCUGGACUUAAACUGACGCUGAGGUACGAAAGCGUGGGGAGCAAACA
rnacentral:rRNA from 1 species